GAUGAACGCUGGCGGCGUGCCUAAUACAUGCAAGUAGAACGCUGAAGGAAGGAGCUUGCUCUUUCCGGAUGAGUUGCGAACGGGUGAGUAACGCGUAGGUAACCUGCCUGGUAGCGGGGGAUAACUAUUGGAAACGAUAGCUAAUACCGCAUAACAGUAGACGUUGCAUGAUAUCUACUUAAAAGGUGCAAUUGCACCACUACCAGAUGGACCCGCGUUGUAUUAGCUAGUUGGUGAGGUAACGGCUCACCAAGGCGACGAUACAUAGCCGACCUGAGAGGGUGAUCGGCCACACUGGGACUGAGACACGGCCCAGACUCCUACGGGAGGCAGCAGUAGGGAAUCUUCGGCAAUGGACGGAAGUCUGACCGAGCAACGCCGCGUGAGUGAAGAAGGUUUUCGGAUCGUAAAGCUCUGUUGUAAGAGAAGAACGAGUGUGAGAGUGGAAAGUUCACACUGUGACGGUAUCUUACCAGAAAGGGACGGCUAACUACGUG
rnacentral:rRNA from 1 species